rnacentral:sRNA from 1 species
CACCGCCUGGGGAGUACGACCGCAAGGUUAAAACUCAAAUGAAUUGACGGGGACCCGCACAAGUAGUGGAGCAUGUGGUUUAAUUCGAAGAUACGCGCAGAACCUUACCAACACUUGACAUGUUCGUCGCGACUUUAAGAGAUUAAAGUUUUCGGUUCGGCCGGACGAAACACAGGUGCUGCAUGGCUGUCGUCAGCUCGUGUCGUGAGAUGUUGGGUUAAGUCCCGCAACGAGCGCAACCCUCACUUUUAGUUGCCAUCAUUNAGUUGGGCACUCUGAAAGAACUGCCAGUGAUAAGCUGGAGGAAGGUGGGGAUGACGUCAAGUCCUCAUGGCCCUUACGUGUUGGGCUACACACGUGCUACAAUGGUAUCUACAACAGGAAGCAAGACGGCGACGUUAAGCAAAUCCUUAAAAGAUACCUAAGUUCGGAUUGCACUCUGCAACUCGAGUGCAUGAAGCUGGAAUUACUAGUAAUCGUGGAUCAGCGUGCCACGGUGAAUGCGUUCCCGGGUCUUGUACACACCGCCCGUCACACCAUGGGAGUUGGUUCUACCUUAAGGCAAGGUUUCAAACCCUUGACCACGGUAUAGUCAGCGACUGGGGUGAAGUCGUAACAAGGUAGCCGUAGGGGAACCUGCGGCUGGAUUACCUCCUUUCUAAGGAUGAAUAAAAGUAAAAUUUUAUUCUAAAUAAUAUACAUAGGUAAUGUUGACCGUCCUCAUUUCUCUUCUUAAAGUAGUGUUUCUCUUGCAUGGGGGCCGGUAGCUCAGUUGGUUAGAGCACACCCUUGAUAAGGGUGGGGUCGAAAGUUCGAGUCUUUCUCGGCCCACCAACCUAAGAUAAGGGGGGAUUAGCUCAGCUGGGAGAGCGCCUGAUUUGCAUUCAGGAGGUCAGCGGUUCGAUCCCGCUAUCCUCCACCAAAAACACUUAGUUAUAAAAAAUUGUAAAAAAAAUAAUUAAUAUCAAUAUCUAUAUCCGAACAUUAGUUAUAUUAUUAGCUAGUGUUCAAAAUAAAAAUUUGAUUCAACACAGAAUUUUUUUCUG